rnacentral:rRNA from 1 species
CGUGUAGGCGGUCUUUUUAAGUCAGACGUGAAAUCUCUGGGCUUAACCCAGAAAUUGCGUUUGAAACUGGAAGGCUUGAGGAUCGGAGAGGGUAGUGGAAUUCCCAGUGUAGCGGUGAAAUGCGUAGAUAUUGGGAGGAACACCAGUGGCGAAGGCGACUGCCUGGACGACACCUGACGCUGAGGCGCGAAAGCCAGGGGAGCAAACGGGAUUAGAUACCCCGGUAGUCCUGGCCGUAAACGAUGGGUACUAGGUGUGGGAGGUAUCGACCCCUUCGUGCCGCAGUUAACACAAUAAGUACCCCGCCUGGGGAGUACGGCCGCAAGGUUGAA